CAUUUUCUAUUAAGGUAUCUUUACUUUUACUCAAGUAUGACAAUGGGUACUUUCCCCACCACGGAUGUUAUCUCCCUUGCUGUCUUUUGUCCAGAAACAGGCUAUGAAUGGGUGGGCUGCCUGUAAAUGGACUGACCAGGAGAUGACAUGUGUUGGUAAAGUAGGGGUAUAGCUUUAAAACACUGAUUAUGGUUAACGUAGUAAGUUUACUUUCGGUUUUGGAUGCAAUUGUGUGUGACGGAUGUAACCGAACUAUGAUCUUUUUGCUCCGUUAGCCCACUACUAUAUUACUACCUCCAAUGAUUUCCAGUUAACUACUUCAAUGGCAUUCCAGACUAACUCGUCAUUAGUAGCGGAUAAGAUCCCCAAAUGUGGGAAUUACCCCAGAAUAUCUGUAAAUUGCUCUGGUCCUGGAGCUAGCAAGUAAAGGCUCCCCUGAGCCGUCCCGACUACGGUCUGGAGGCGCAGCGGGAAAGGUAACGCAGGUCUCCCUGUGAAGGGCCAGGUCAAUAUUGUGUACUGCAGGCUGAGGAAGCUGAAGGCCCACGGCUUGGAGAGCGCUAGGGAAGGGGCUGUGUUCUGGCCUAACCACUGGAGAGUCCAGCUGUGCCCCUGCGUCAGUUGCAAGAUGGCCUGCUGGAUGAGUCAGACACUGUCCUGGCCUGUGAGAACUGAGGCACUACAGAGCAAGGAACUGCUAGUCUCAGGCCUGGCAUAAGCAGACGGUUGAGUACUCUGGACAGCAUUCAGCAACUGGAGAUUGUUUAACUUAAGGAUGGGGACAAUCUUUUUCAUUUAUUUGUUUGGCAGCUAUUAACUGUAGAUGUAACCUAACACAGGGUUUAUACCAUUUGAUGAAAGUAAAAUGUUGUUUCUUCUAUCUCUGAGUUAAUUGAGAAGGAGACUGAACUGAUGGCUUUCCUACAGCAGAUUGCUGAUGAAGGAAAGGUCAUCACAGCAGAAGUCAUCCACCAAUUAUUUGGGGAGCUGAUGAAGAAGAGGCAACAGAUGAACAGCUGAUGUCAUUCUGCCCCACGGUUUCCUGUUGUUUACUUACUUGUGCAAUUUUGUAAUGUUACUUUGGGUUCAUAGCAAAAGUUCUGUCCACCAAACAACUUCUGAUUUAAAUAGCAGUGCUGCUAUAAAAUAUGCUGUUACUGAGGUUUAUGAAGUUGAAAGUUUAGCCAAAAAAGUUGUUCUCGAAUUGCUCUCCAUGGAUUUCAAAUGGCGUUCCAUGUCUCAUGAGAAGCUGAAGUAGCAUGCUGUUAGCAGGCUUGGAGAGAUGCUGAUGGAAUCUAGUCAUUUUAGUCAUGGACUUACUGUUAUUUGGUCAAUUAUGUCUUAGUUGUCAUUAGAAUUUCAUAAUAAUGUGACACCUGAUGAGGAUGCACUGCCAUUCAUAUUGAAACAGAUCCAGUAUGUGACCAUUUCAUGUUGUCACUAGCAUUCCUGUUAAUUAAACAUUUGAAUAGUUCAUCCAGCAUA